CCCUGGCUAGCUCAGUCGGUAGAGCCUGCGACUCUUGGUCUCAGGGUUGUGAGUUCAAGCCCCACACUGGGGA
rnacentral:tRNA from 1 species